CCUACGGGGGGCUGCAGUGGGGAAUAUUGGACAAUGGGGGGAACCCUGAUCCAGCCAUGCCGCGUGUGUGAAGAAGGCCCUCGGGUUGUAAAGCACUUUCAGUGAGGAAGAACGCCUGGUGGUUAAUACCCAUCAGGAAAGACAUCACUCACAGAAGAAGCACCGGCUAACUCCGUGCCAGCAGCCGCGGUAAUACGGAGGGUGCGAGCGUUAAUCGGAAUUACUGGGCGUAAAGCGCGCGUAGGUGGCUUGAUAAGCCGGUUGUGAAAGCCCCGGGCUCAACCUGGGAACGGCAUCCGGAACUGUCAAGCUAGAGUGCAGGAGAGGAAGGUAGAAUUCCCGGUGUAGCGGUGAAAUGCGUAGAGAUCGGGAGGAAUACCAGUGGCGAAGGCGGCCUUCUGGACUGAGACUGACACUGAGGUGCGAAAGCGUGGGUAGCAAACAGGAUUAGAUACCCGAGUAGUC
rnacentral:rRNA from 1 species